rnacentral:rRNA from 1 species
GAUGAACGCUGGCGGCGUGCCUAAUACAUGCAAGUCGAGCGAACAGACGAGGAGCUUGCUCCUCUGACGUUAGCGGCGGACGGGUGAGUAACACGUGGAUAACCUACCUAUAAGACUGGGAUAACUUCGGGAAACCGGAGCUAAUACCGGACAAUAUAUUGAACCGCAUGGUUCAAUAGUGAAAGACGGUUUUGCUGUCACUUAUAGAUGGAUCCGCGCCGCAUUAGCUAGUUGGUAAGGUAACGGCUUACCCAGGCAACGAUGCGUAGCCGACCUGAGAGGGUGAUCGGCCACACUGGAACUGAGACACGGUCCAGACUCCUACGGGAGGCAGCAGUAGGGAAUCUUCCGCAAUGGGCGAAAGCUUGACGGAGCAACGCCGCGUGAGUGAUGAAGGUCUUCGGAUCGUAAAACUCUGUUAUUAGGGAAGAACAAAUGUGUAAGUAACUAUGCACGUCUUGACGGUACCUAAUCAGAAAGCCACGGCUAACUACGUG